rnacentral:rRNA from 1 species
GACGAACGCUGGCGGCGUGCUUAACACAUGCAAGUCGAACGGAAAGGCCCUGCUUUUGUGGGGUGCUCGAGUGGCGAACGGGUGAGUAACACGUGAGUAACCUGCCCUUGACUUUGGGAUAACUUCAGGAAACUGGGGCUAAUACCGGAUAGGAGCUCCUGCUGCAUGGUGGGGGUUGGAAGGUUUCGGCGGUUGGGGAUGGACUCGCGGCUUAUCAGCUUGUUGGUGGGGUAGUGGCUUACCAAGGCUUUGACGGGUAGCCGGCCUGAGAGGGUGACCGGCCACAUUGGGACUGAGAUACGGCCCAGACUCCUACGGGAGGCAGCAGUGGGGAAGAUUGCACAAUGGGCGGAAGCCUGAUGCAGCAACGCCGCGUGCGGGAUGACGGCCUUCGGGUUGUAAACCGCUUUCGCCUGUGACGAAGCGUGAGUGACGGUAAUGGGUAAAGAAGCACCGGCUAACUACGUG